rnacentral:sRNA from 1 species
UCAUCUUGGAGGCAGGUCUCUUAAGCAGACCGU